UACGAAGGGGGCUAGUGUUGUUCGGAAUCACUGGGCGUAAAGCGCAAGUAGGCGGAUCUUUAAGUCAGGGGUGAAAUCCCGAGGCUCAACCUCGGAACUGCCUUUGAUACUGGGGAUCUCGAGUCCGGGAGAGGUGAGUGGAACUGCGAGUGUAGAGGUGAAAUUCGUAGAUAUUCGCAAGAACACCAGUGGCGAAGGCGGCUCACUGGCCCGGAACUGACGCUGAGGUGCGAAAGCGUGGGGAGCAAACAGG
rnacentral:rRNA from 1 species